rnacentral:rRNA from 1 species
GUAGGUGGCAAGCGUUGUCCGGGAAUUAUUGGGGCGUAAAGCGCGCGCAGGCGGUUCUUUAAGUCUGAUGUGAAAGCCCACGGGCUCAACCGUGGAGGGUCAUUGGAAACUGGAGAACUUGAGUACAGAAGAGGAAAGCGGAAUUCCACGUGUAGCGGUGAAAUGCGUAGAGAUGUGGAGGAACACCAGUGGCGAAGGCGGCUUUCUGGUCUGUAACUGACACUGAGGCGCGAAAGCGUGGGGAGCAAACAGGAUUAGAUACCCUGGUAGUCCACGCCGUAAACGAUGAGUGCUAAGUGUUAGGGGGUUUCCGCCCCUUAGUGCUGCAGCUAACGCAUUAAGCACUCCGCCUGGGGAGUACGGCCGCAAAGGCUG